CCCUCCGGGAGCCGCCGGGGACGGGCCGCCGUCCUCAGCACGGCGGCGAAGAGCUGCUCGAAGAGCGGCCCCGUCCGCUCGGCGGGC
rnacentral:tRNA from 1 species